UGUGUAGGCGGCUCUCUAAGUUUGGUGUGAAAUCUCCCGGCUCAACCGGGAGGGUGCGCCGAAAACUGGAGGGCUAGAGUGCGGGAUGGGAGAGUAGAAUUCCUGGUGUAGCGGUGAAAUGCGUAGAUAUCAGGAGGAAUACCGGUGGUGUAGACGGCUCUCUGGACCGCCACUGACGCUGAAACACGAAAGCGUGGGUAGCAAACAGGAUUAGAUACCCUGGUAGUCCACGCCCUAAACGAUGCAUAUUUGGUGUAGGUCAUUCAGUUGAUCUGUGCCGGAGCUAACGCGUUAAAUAUGCCGCCUGGGGAGUACAGUCGCAAGGCUGAA
rnacentral:rRNA from 1 species